rnacentral:rRNA from 1 species
UACGUAGGGGGCAAGCGUUGUCCGGAUUUAUUGGGCGUAAAGAGCGUGUAGGCGGCUAGAUAGGUCCGUUGUGAAAACUCGAGGCUCAACCUCGAGACGUCGGUUGAAACCGUACGGCUAGAGUCCGGAAGAGGAGAGUGGAAUUCCCGGUGUAGCGGUGAAAUGCGCAGAUAUCGGGAAGAACACCCGUGGCGAAGGCGGCUCUCUGGGACGGUACUGACGCUGAGACGCGAAAGCGUGGGGAGCGAACAGG